UCUUGCAGUGUCCUUUCCCAGUGACAGUAGGGGCAGCAAGGCACGUAUUGUAUUGUUGCCAUCGAGGAUAACAAGAUGGGGUUUUCAUCAUAUUGCAUGAGUUUAUCCCUCUACAUCAUGUCAUCUUGCUUAAGGCGUUACUCUGUUUUUAACUUAAUACUCUAGAUGCAUGCGGGAUAGCGUUCGAUGAGUGGAGUAAUAGUAGUAGAUGCAGGCAUGAGUUGGUCUACUUGUCUCGGACAUGAUGCCUAUAUAGAUAUUCUCAUAACAAUGCUCAAUUAUGUCAAUUCCUCAACAAUAAUUUGUUCACCCACCAUAGAAUACUUAUGCUCUCGAGAGAAGUCACUAGUGAAACCUAUGGCCCCCUGGUCUAUCUUUAUCAUAUUAAUCUCCUACAACUUAGUUAUUUCCUUUGCUCUUUACUUUGCCUUUAUUUUACUUUGCAUCUUUAUCAUAAAAAUACCAAAAAUAUUAUCUUAUCAUAUCUAUCAGAUUUCACUCUCGUAAGUGGCCGUGUAGGGAUUGACAACCCCUAUUCGCAUUGGUUGCGAGGAUUUAUUUGUUUUGUGCAGGUACGAGGGACUCGCGCGUAGCCUCCUACUGGAUUGAUACCUUGGUUCUCAAAAACCGAGGGAAAUACUUACGCUACUUUGCUGCAUCAUCCCUUCCUCUUCGGGGAAAACCAACGCAGUGCUCAAGAGGUAGCAAGAAGGAUUUCUAGCAUCGUUGCCGGGGAGGUCUACGCAAAAGUCAACAUACCAAGUACCCAUCACAUACCCUUAUCUCCCACAUUACAUUAUUUUCCAUUUGCCUCUCGUUUUCCUCCCCCCACUUCACCCUUGCCGUUUUAUUCGCCCUCUCUCUCUCUCUAUCCUCCCUCUCUUUCUCUAUUUGCCUCUUUUUGUCUGCUUGCUUUUUGUUUGCUUGUGUGUUAGUUUGCUUGCUUGUCACGAUGGCUCAAGAUAAUAGGAAAUUAUGUGACUUCACGAAUACCAACAACAAUGAUUUUAUUAGCACUCCAUUUGCUCCUCUUACCGAUGCUAAAUCUUGUGAAAUUAAUACUGCUUUGCUGAAUCUUGUCAUGAAAGAUCCGUUUUCCAGCCUUCCUAGUGAAGAUGCCGCUACCCAUCUAAAUAGCUUUGUUGAUUUGUGUGAUAUGCAAAAGAAGAAAGAUGUGGAUAAUGAUAUUGUUAAAUUUAAGCUAUUUCCUUUUUCACUUAGAGAUCGUGCUAAAGCUUGGUUUUCGUCUUUGCCUAAAAAUAGUAUUGAUUCAUGGAAUAAGUGCAAAGAUGCUUUUAUCUCUAAGUAUUUUCCUCCCACUAAGAUCAUCUCUCUUAGAAAAAAUAUUAUGAAUUUUAAGAAACUUGAUCAUGAACAUGUUGCACAAGCUUGGGAGAGAAUGAAACUAAUAAUACAUAAUUGCCCUACUCAUGGUUUGAAUUUGUGGAUGAUUAUACAAAAAUUUUAUGCCGGAUUGAAUUUUGUUUCUAGAAAUCUUUUAGAUUCGGCCGCGGGAGGCACUUUUAUGGAAAUCACUUUAGGAGAAGCUACUAAACUCCUAGAUAAUAUUAUGGUUAAUUAUUCUCAGUGGCAUACUGAAAGAUCUACUAAUAAAAAGGUGCAUGCGAUAGAAGAAAUUAAUGUUUUGAGUGGAAAGAUGGAUGAACUUAUGAAAUUAUUUGCUAAUAAGAGUGUUUCUUCUGAUCCUAAUGAUAUGCCCUUGUCUACUUUGAUUGAGAAUACUAAUUAAUCUAUGGAUAAGAAUUUUGUUGGUAGGAACAAUUUUGGUAACAACGCGUAUAGAGGAAAUUUUAAUCCUAGGCCUUAUCCUAGUAAUCCCUCUAAUAAUUAUGGUAAUUCCUACAACAAUUCUUAUGGAAAUUAUAAUAAGAUGCCCUCUGAUUUUGAAUCUAAUAUUAAAGAAUUUAUUACUUCGCAAAAGAAUUUUAAUGCUUUGAUUGAAGAAAAAUUGCUUAAGAUUGAUGAGUUGGCUAGGAACGUUGAUAAAAUUUCUCUUGAUGUUGAUUCUUUAAAACUUAGAUCUAUUCCACCUAAGCAUGAUAUCAAUGAGUCUCUCAAAGCCAUGAGAAUUUCCAUUGAUGAGUGCAAAGAAAGAACCGCUAGGAUGCGUGCUAAGAAAGAUGCCUUUAUAAGAGCGUGUUCUUCUAGUUUCUAUGAAAAUAAAGAUGAAGAUCUAAAAGUUAUUGAUGUGUCCCCUAUUAAAACUUUGUUUUGCAAUAUGAAUCUUGAUAAUGAUGGGACUGAAUAUGAUCCACCUUUACCUAGAAGGUGUUCCAAGAAUUCGGAAUUUUUUGAUCUUGAUGCUAAAAUUGAUAGAAGUGGGAUUGAAGAAAUUAAAACCCUAGAUGUUGCUAAACCCACUGUUAUGGAUUUCAAGGAAUUUAACUAUGAAAAUUACUCUUUGAUUGAUUGUAUUUCCUUUUUACAAUCCGUGCUAAAUUCUCCUCGUGCUUAUAGUCAAAAUAAAGCGUUUAGUAAACAUAUCGUUGAUGCCUUGAUGCAAUCUUAUGAAGAAAAACUUGAAUUGGAAGUUUCUAUCCCUAGAAAUCUUUGUGAUGAGUGGGAACCAACUAUUAAAAUUAAAAUUAAAGAUCAUGAAUGCUAUGCUUUAUGUGAUUUGGGUGCUAGUGUUUCCACGAUUCCAAAGACUUUGUGUGAUUUGUUAGGUUUCCGUGAUUUUAAUGGUUGCUCUUUAAACUUGCACCUUGCGGAUUCCACUAUUAAGAAACCUAUGGGAAGAAUUAAUGAUGUUAUUAUUGUUGCAAAUAGUAAUUAUGUGCCCGAAGAUUUUAUUGUUCUUGACAUAGAUUGCAAUCCUUCAUGUCCUAUUAUUCUUGGUAGACCUCUCCUUAGAACGAUUGGUGCAAUUAUUGAUAUGAAGGAAGGAAAUAUUAGAUUCCAAUUUGCAUUAAGGAAAGGCAUGGAACACUUUCCUAUAAAGAAAAUUAAAUUACAUUAUGGAUCUAUUAUGAGAGCCACUUAUGGAUUGUCUACCAAAGAUGGCAAUACCUAGAUCUAUUCUUGCUUGUUAUGCCUAGCUAGGGGCAUUAAACGAUAGCGCUUGUUGGGAGGCAACCCAAUUUUAUUUUUAUUCAUUGAUUUUUGCUCCUGUUUAGUAAUAAAUAAUUUAUCUAUCCACUGUUUUGGUUGUGUUUUUUGUGUUUAAUUAGUGUUUGUGCCAAGUAGAACCGUUGGGAAGACUUGGGGAAAGUCUUGUUACACUUGCUAUACAAAACAGAAACUAUAGCGCUCACGAUAACUGCUGCCAUUUUUAUUUGUAAAGUUAUAUUUAGUUAAUUAUUUUUGCAGAUGAUUAAUAGAUAAAUUCCUCACGUCCAAAAAUUUAUUUGAGAAUUUUUGGGGUUCCAGAUCUUGCUCUAGAUAUAUAUUACUACAGACUGUUCUGUUUUUGACAGAUUCUGUUUUUCGCGUGUUGUUUGCUUAUUUUGAUGAAUCUAUGGCCAGUAAAAUAGUUCAUAAACCAUAGAGAAGUUGGUAUACAGUAGGUAUAACACCAAUAUAAAUAAAUAAUGAGUUUAUUACAGUACGUUGAAGUGGUAUUUUGUUUUCUUUCGCUAACGGAGCUCACGAGAUUUUCUACUUUAAGUUUUGUGUUGUGCAGUUUUCAAGUUUUGGGUAAAGAUUUGAUGGAUUAUGGAACAAGGAGUGGCAAGAGCCUAAGAUUGGGGAUGCCCAUGGCACCCCCAAGAUAAUCUAAGGACACCUAAAAGACAAAACUUGGGGAUGCCCCUGAAGGCAUCCCCUCUUUCGUCUACUUCCAUCGGCAACUUUACUUGGAGCUAUAUUUUUAUUCGCCACAUGAUAUGUGUUUUGCUUGGAGCGUCUUGUAUGAUUUGAGUAUUUACUUUUUAGUUUAUCACAAUAAUCCUUGCUGUACACACCUUUUGAGAGAGCCAUACAUGAUUUGGAAUUUGUUAGAAUACUCUAUGUGCUUCGCUUAUAUCUUUUGAGUUAUGUAGUUUUGCUCUAGUACUUCACUUAUAUCUUUUAGAGCACGGUGGUGGAUUUGUUUUAUAGAAACUGUUGUUCUCUCAUGCUUCACUUAGAUUAUUUUGAGAGUCUUAAAUAGCAUGGUAAUUUGCUUAAAAUCCUAAUAUGCUUGGUAUAUAAGAUUAAUAAUAAACCUUUCUUAUGAGUGUGUUGAAUACUAUGAGAAGUUCGAUGCUUAAUAAUUGUUUUGAGAUAUGAAGAUGGUGAUAUUAAAGUUGUGCUAGUAGAGUAGUUGUGAAUUUGAAGAGUACUUGUGUUAAAGUUUGUGAUUCCCGUAGCAUGCAUGUAUGGUGAACCGUUAUGUGAUGAAGUCGGAGCAUGAUUUAUUUUUUGAUUGUCUUCCUUAUGAGUGGCAGUCGGGGACGAGCGAUGGUCUUUUCCUACCAAUCUAUCCCCCUAGGAGCAUGCACGUAAUACUUUGCUUUGAUAACUUGUAGAUUUUUGCAAUAAGUACAUGAGUUCUUUAUGACUAAUGUUGAGUCCAUGGAUCAUACCCUCUUUUCUCACCCUUCCACCUUUGCUAGCCUCUCUAAUACCGCGCACCUUUCGCCGGUAUCAUACACCCACCAUAUACCUUCCUCAAAACAGCCACCAUACCUACCUAUUAUGGCAUUUCCAUAGCCACUCCGAGAUAUAUUGCCAUGCAACUUUCCACCGUUCCGUUUAUUAUGACACACUCCAUCAUUGUCAUAUUGCUUAGCAUGAUCAUGUAGUCGACAUCAUAUUUGUGGCAAAGCCACCGUUCAUAAUUCUUUCAUACAUGUCACUCAUGAGUCAUUGCAUAUCCCAGUACACCGCCGGAGGCAUUCAUAUAGAGUCAUAUUUUGUUCUAAGUAUCGAGUUUUAAUUGUUGAGUUGUAAGAAAAAUAAAAGUGUGAUGAUCAUCAUUAUUAGAGCAUUGUCCCAGUGAGGAAAGGAUGAUGGAGCUAUGAUUCCCCCACAAGUCGGGAUGAGACUCCGGACUAAAAAUAAAAAAAUAAAAGAGGCCAUAAAAAAAGAGAAAAGGCCCAAAUAAAAAAUGAGAGAAAAAGAAAGAAGGGACAAUGCUACUAUCCUUUUACCACACGUGUGCUUCAAAGUAGCACCAUGAUAUUCAUGAUAGAGAGUCUCCUAUGUUGUCACUUUCAUAUAUUAGUGGGAAUUUUUCAUUAUAGAACUUGGCUUGUAUAUUCCAAUGAUGGGCUUCCUCAAAUUGCCCUAGGUCUUCAUGAGCAAGCAAGUUGGAUGCACACCCACUUAGUUUCUUUUUGAGCUUUCAUAUACUUAUGGCUCUAGUGCAUCCGUUGCAUGGAAAUCCCUACUCACUCACAUUGAUAUCUAUUGAUGGGCAUCUCCAUAGCCCGUUGAUACGCCUAGUUGAUGUGAGACUAUCUUCUCCAUUUUUGUCUUCUCCACAACCACCAUUCUAUUCCACCUAUAAGUGCUAUGUCCAUGGCUCACUCUCAUGUAUUGCGUGAAAUUGAAAAAGUUACAGAACACCAAAAGUAUGAAACAAUUGCUUGGCUUGUCAUCGGGGUUGUGCAUGAUUUAAAUAUUUUGUGUGGUGAAAAUAGAGCAUAGCCAGACUAUAUGAUUUUGUAGGGAUAACUUUCUUUGGCCAUGUUAUUUUGAGAAGACAUAAUUGCUUUGUUAGUAUGCUUGAAGUAUUAUUAUUUUUAUGUCAAUAUUAAACUUUUGUCUUGAAUCUUUCGGAUCUGAAUAUUCAUACCACAAUUAAGAAGAAUUACAUUAAAAUUAUGCCAAGUAGCACUCCGCAUCAAAAAUUCGGUUUUUAUCAUUACCUACUCGAGGACGAGCAGUAAUUAAGCUUGGGGAUGCCUGAUACGUCUCCAACGUAUCUAUAAUUUUUGAUUGCUCCAUGCUAUAUUAUCUGCUGUUUUGGAUAUUAUUGGGCUUUAUUAUCCACUUUUAUAUCAUUUUUGGGACUAACCUAUUAACCGGAGGCCCAACCCAGAAUUGUUGUUUUUUGCUUGUUUUAGGGUUUCGAAGAAAAGGAAUAUCAAACGGAGUCCAAAUGGAAUGAAACCUUCGGGAACGUGAUUUUCUCAACGAACAAGACCCAGGAGACUUGGACCCUACGUCAAGACACAAAAGAUGAGGCUACGAGGUAGGGGGCGCGCCUACCCCCACCAGGCGCGCCCUCCUCCCUCGUGGGCCCCCUGUUGCUCCACCGACGUACUCCUUCCUCCUAUAUAUACCUACGUACCCCCAAACGAUCAGAUACGGAGCCAAAAACCUAAUUCCACCACCACAACUUUCUGUAUCCAUGAGAUCCCAUCUUGGGGCCUGUCCCGGAGCUUCGUCGGAGGGGGCAUCGAUCACGGAGGGCUUCUACAUCAACACCAUAGCCCUUCCGAUGAAGUGUGAGUAGUUUACCUCAGACCUAUGGGUCCAUAGUUAUUAGCUAGUGACUUCUUCUCUCUUUUUGGAUCUCAAUACAAUGUUCUCCCCCUCUCUUGUGGAGAACUAUUCAAUGUAAUCUUCUUUUUGCGGUGUGUUUGUUGAGAUCGAUGAAUUGUGGGUUUAUGAUCAAGUCUAUCUAUGAACUAUAUUUGAAUCUUCUCUGAAUUCUUUUAUGUACAAUUGGUUAUCUUUGCAAGUCUCUUCGAAUUAUCAGUUUGGUUUGGCCUACUAGAUUGAUCUUUCUUGCAAUGGGAGAAGUGCUUAGCUUUGGGUUCAAUCUUGCGGUGUCCUUUCCCAGUGACAGUAGAGGCGGCAAGGCACAUAUUGUAUUGUUGCCAUCGAGGAUGACAAGAUGGGGUUUUCAUCAUAUUGCAUGAGUUUAUCCCUCUACAUCAUGUCAUCUUGCUUAAGGCGUUACUCUGUUUUUAACUUAAUACUCUAGAUGCAUGCUGGAUAGCGGUCGAUGAGUGGAGUAAUAGUAGUAGAUGCAGGCAGGAGUCGGUCUACUUGUCUCAGACGUGAUGCCUAUAUACAUGAUCAUACCUAGAU
rnacentral:lncRNA from 1 species